rnacentral:tRNA from 1 species
GCCCGGGUGGUGAAAUUGGUAGACGCAUCAGACUCAAAAUCUGACGGAAGCAACUCCGUGCCGGUUCGAUUCCGGCCCCGGGCACCA